ACGGGUGAGUAACGCGUAUCCAACCUGCCCACCACUUGGGGAUAACCUUGCGAAAGUAAGACUAAUACCCAAUGAUAUCUCUAGAAGACAUCUGAAAGAGAUUAAAGAUUUAUCGGUGAUGGAUGGGGAUGCGUCUGAUUAGCUUGUUGGCGGGGUAACGGCCCACCAAGGCAACGAUCAGUAGCCGACCUGAGAGGGUGAUCGGCCACAUUGGGACUGAGACACGGCCCAA
rnacentral:rRNA from 1 species